GACGAACGCUGGCGGCGUGCUUAAUACAUGCAAGUCGAACGGAAAGGCCCUGCUUUUGUGGGGUGCUCGAGUGGCGAACAGGUGUGUAACACGUGAGUAACCUGCCCUUGACUUUGGGAUAACUUCAGGAAACUGGGGCUCAUAUCGCAUAUGAGCUCCUGCUGCAUGGUGGUGGUUGGUAAGAUUCGGCGGUUGUGGAUGGACUCGCGGCUUAUCAGCUUGUUGGUGGGGUAGUUGCUUACCACGGCUUUGACGGGUAGCCGGCCUGGGAGGGUGACCGGCCACAUUGGGACUGAGAUACGGCCCAGACGCGUACGGGAGGCAGCGGUGGGGAACAUUGCGCAAUGGGCGGAAGCCUGAUGCAGCAACGCCGCGUGCGGGAUGACGGCCUUUGGGGUGUAAACCGCUUUCGACUGUGAUGAAGAGUGAGUGACGGUAAUUGGUAAGGAAGCAACGGCUAACUACGUG
rnacentral:rRNA from 1 species